GUCCGAUUGGUUCAGCUGGAGAGAAUGUCUACCUACGGAGCAGAUGGCCGUAAGUUCGAAUGCUGCAUCGGGUA
rnacentral:tRNA from 1 species